CCUACGGGAGGCAGCAGUGGGGAAUAUUGCACAAUGGGGGGAACCCUGAUGCAGUGACGCCGCGUGAGUGAAGAAGUAUUUCGGUAUGUAAAGCUCUAUCAGCAGGGAAGAAAAUGACGGUACCUGAUUAAGAAGCCCCGGCUAACUACGUGACAGCCGCCGCGGUAAUACGUAGGGGGCAAGCGUUAUCCGGAUUUAAUGGGUGUAAAGGGAGCGUAGACGGUAAUGCAAGUCUGAAGUGAAAGCCCCAGGCUUAACCAAGGGACUGCCAUGGAAACUAGAAAACUGGAGUGCAGGAGAGGAAAGCGGAAGUCCUAGUGUAGCGGUGAAAUGCGUAGAUAUUAGGAGGAACACCAGUGGCGAAGGCGACUUACUGGACUGUAACUGACGUUGAGGCUCGAAGGCGUGGGGAGCAAACAGGAUUAGAUACCCGAGUAGUC
rnacentral:rRNA from 1 species